CUUAUACAUGCAAGUCGUACGGGAUUAAACUCAAGUGGCGGACGGGUGAGUAACACGUAAGAAUUUGCCUUUAGGAGGGGGACAACAACUGGAAACGGUUGCUAAUACCCCAUAUGCUUUCGAGUCAAAUGGAUUUUUCCGCCUAAAGAGAAGCUUGCGGCUGAUUAGCUUGUUGGUGGGGUAAUGGCUCACCAAGGCGACGAUCAGUAUCUGGUUUGAGAGGACGAUCAGACACACUGGAACUGAGACACGGUCCAGACUCCUACGGGAGGCAGCAGUAGGGAAUUUUCCGCAAUGGGCGAAAGCCUGACGGAGCAAUCUCGCGUGAGGGAUGACGGCCUAUGGGUUGUAAACCUCUUUUUUCAGGGAGGAAUGAAUGACGUGUACCUGAAGAAUAAGCAUCGGCUAACUCCGUGCCAGCAGCCGCGGUAAGACGGAGGAUGCAAGUGUUAUCCGGAAUCACUGGGCGUAAAGCGUCUGUAGGUGGUUUAAUAAGUCAACUGUUAAAUCUUAAAGCUUAACUUUGAAAUCGCAGUCGAAACUAUUAAACUAGAGUAUAGUAGGGGUAAAGGGAAUUUCCAGUGGAGCGGUGAAAUGCGUAGAGAUUGGAAAGAACACCGAUGGCGAAGGCACUUUACUGGGCUAUUACUAACACUCAGAGACGAAAGCUAGGGUAGCAAAUGGGAUUAGAUACCCCAGUAGUCCUAGCCGUAAACAAUGGAUACUAGAUGUUGAACAGAUCGACCUGUGCAGUAUUAAAGCUAACGCGUUAAGUAUCCCGCCUGGGAAGUAUGCUCGCAAGAGUGAAACUCAAAUGAAUUGACGG
rnacentral:rRNA from 1 species